rnacentral:lncRNA from 1 species
CCCCAGUCUGCCAUCUUAUUCCUCAAUAAAUUCAUCUUGAGAAACAACUCCCUCAAAAGCAUUUUCUUCCUCGUCAGCCACAUCAGUCUUCUUUGAGUGGAACUCUCUUCUCGUCUCCUCCUGAAUUUUAUGGGAUGACACCGCCAUCUGGCCAUAGCCUGUAUAUCAUCCUGAUCUCUCCCCCGCCUUCCGCAUGUCUCACAUCCAGCUGCUACUAAAUCAUGUCAGCUCUGCCCCAUGCAUACUGCCUGUCCUCCUCCUUCCCCACGGCCACCAUACUGGCACUUGUGCCUUCUGAGACCUGCCUUCCAGAGGAGUGCACAUGCCAGGAGUGUUCAGUGGGCACAAGUGGUUUUAUUGUUUCUGCCCGGAAGAGGAAGCCCUGGCAGCAGCAGGGACACAGAGAGGACACGGCGCUGCAUCCUGCCGGCAGUGUGGAUGCUGGUGGCGGGAGUCCAGGACUGUGAAGAGCUGUCAGCAUAUGAGCUGGAGCCGCUGAGGAGCUGCACCUAGGCCUGCAGAGGCCACCAGCUUGAGAAGGGGGUCCCAGCCUCACCGAUGCCGCUUUCGGAUGCUCUGCAGCUCCUGGUAGAUGGUGCUGAAGCUGGGCCGCUGCCCAGGCUCAUAGGCCCAGCACUGCUCCAUGAGCCUGAACACGGCAUCAGGACACAGCUCUGGGCAGGGCAGACGGCCCCCUGUGAGGAGAGGCACAGCACACCAGGCAUGAGGAGGGAGUUUGAGGGUCCUCGGCAGACUCUGGGGGAUACCAUGAGCCAUAGGAGCUGCUUAAGAUGCACUGUUCUGAAGGAUGCACUGUUCUCCACCAAGGGCCCAAAGGACAAAGAGGCCUGGCUUCUGAUCCUAAUCCUACCACGUGCUAGCUGUGUCCCCUCUGCCAGCCUUUUUUUCCAUCUGAGAAAGGGACAUAUUAAUCCCUACCACACAUGUAGUGAUGAGCAAAUGAAAUAACAUGUGACCUAGCACAGACCAGGUGCUCACUCAGUAGUAGCUACAGG